GAGUGCAUAGACUGCACCUGCUACAUCCACAACACCUCCCCAGUUAAAAGAAAUGCAAAACAGAAAGAAUUCUUCAAAGCAACAUGCCAAGUAAACAACAACCAGUACAAGAACUGCUUAUGCUAUGCUCCUCGUCUACACAAUGAUUUUAAGAAAGCAGAAAAUGCAAAAAGUCCUGUCAAAAUCAAGAACGUUCAAUUGAUUCCUGAUUAUCAAGACAACACGAAAAAGGACUUUAAGAUAACAUACAAUUCCAACAAUUGAAAAGCAGAAUACAACAACCUUACCAUUUAAGAUGAAAACACCAGCAGUUGACCUAAAUACAAUCAUCGAUACUCCACUGAAGGAUUUGAAAAGUUUACAGAUUUGCCAAAAGGUACGUGUUGUUGCGACAGUAAGGAAGUUAUCAGAUGAAAUUCAGCAGAAGGAAAUUUAUGGAUCACUAUUGCACCUACAAGAAGCUGUGAUUUCCGUUCAAACAAGUGCUGUAAAACUAGCUCUUUGGGGCUCUUCCGUUCAAAAAAUUGAAUCGGGAAAGACACACGUGUACUGGAUACAGGGAAAGCAGUCUUCGUAGUGGCACUGGACCUGUCCGCCGCCUUUGACACUAUUGAUCACGAGAUACUUUUAAGUCGCCUUGACAGGAGAUGUGAAAUUCGCGGUACUGCCCUGGAUUGGUUCCGCUCGUACCUGUCCGGACGAAUACAGGAGGUGACGGUCAAUGACGCAGUGUCAGAUGCUUCUCCACUCCGCUUUGGUGUGCCGCAAGGCUCUUUUCUAGGCCAUCUGCUGUUCACGGCGUACAGUAGUCAUCUAGGAGAUAUAAUAAGAUCUUACUUGUUGCCAUACAUUCUGUAUGCCGAUGACAGCAACCUUUACGUUGUGUUUGAC